rnacentral:rRNA from 1 species
GAUGAACGCUGGCGGCGUGCCUAAUACAUGCAAGUCGAGCGAACAGACGAGGAGCUUGCUCCUUUGACGUUAGCGGCGGACGGGUGAGUAACACGUGGAUAACCUACCUAUAAGACUGGGAUAACUUCGGGAAACCGGAGCUAAUACCGGAUAACAUGUUGAACCGCAUGGUUCAACAGUGAAAGACGGUCUUGCUGUCACUUAUAGAUGGAUCCGCGCCGCAUUAGCUAGUUGGUAAGGUAACGGCUUACCAGGGCAACGAUGCGUAGCCGACCUGAGAGGGUGAUCGGCCACACUGGAACUGAGACACGGUCCAGACUCCUACGGGAGGCAGCAGUAGGGAAUCUUCCGCAAUGGGCGAAAGCCUGACGGAGCAACGCCGCGUGAGUGAAGAAGGUCUUCGGAUCGUAAAACUCUGUUAUUAGGGAAGAACAAAUGUGUAAGUAACUAUGCACGUCUUGACGGUACCUAAUCAGAAAGCCACGGCUAACUACGUG